rnacentral:tRNA from 1 species
AUGGGACACGAACCCACACCUGAAGACUCAAAAUCUCCCGUACUACCUCUAUACUACCUCCUAGUAAAGUCAGC